rnacentral:rRNA from 1 species
GACAGAGGGGGCAAGCGUUGCUCGGAAUUACUGGGCGUAAAGGGCGCGUAGGCGGGAUGGCAAGUCGGUCGUGAAAUCCCUCGGCUCAACCGAGGAACGUCGAUCGAUACUGCUGUUCUUGAGGAUUGCAGAGGAGACUGGAAUUCCCGGUGUAGCGGUGAAAUGUGUAGAUAUGUGGAGGAAUACCGAUGGCGAAGGCAGCCUCCUGGGCCAACACUGACGCUCAUGCACGAAAGCGUGGGGAGCAAACAGG